CGAGGUGUAGCGCAGUUUGGUAGCGCGCUUCGUUCGGGACGAAGAAGUCGUGGGUUCGAAUCCCGUCACCUCGACCA
rnacentral:tRNA from 1 species